AUAACCGUACCAUAUAUUUACUCGUGGCUCCAUCUUUUGAUUUCAAAACCCUAACAUUUUACAGUUCUCUCGCCCCUGCGCUUCGUCGUCCACAGAUCGAAUUCGAGGGAAAAAUGAGCGGCCGUGCCAGCAGAACAGUGUAUGUCGGCAAUCUCCCGGGUGAUAUUCGUGAAAAGGAAGUGGAAGAUUUAUUUUAUAAGUAUGGUCGCAUAGCUCACAUUGAUCUCAAGGUUCCACCAAGGCCUCCAGGUUAUGCAUUUGUUGAGUUUGAAGAUGCGGAAGAUGCUCAAGAUGCUAUUCGUGGUCGUGAUGGCUAUGAUUUUGAUGGUCAUAGGUUGCGUGUGGAGCUUGCUCAUGGUGGUCGUGGUCAUUCAUCUUCCAGUGAUCGUCAUAGUAGUUAUGGAGGCAGCCGAGGUGGCCGUGGAGUAUCUCGGCGCUCUGAUUAUCGUGUAUUAGUCACAGGAUUACCUUCUUCUGCUUCAUGGCAAGACUUAAAGGAUCAUAUGCGGCGAGCUGGGGAUGUUUGUUUCUCCCAAGUGUUCCGUGAUGGUAGUGGAACCACAGGGAUUGUGGAUUACACCAACCUUGAUGACAUGAAGUAUGCAAUUAAAAAACUUGAUGACUCUGAGUUUCGCAAUGCAUUUUCUCGGGCAUAUGUUCGUGUGAGAGAAUAUGAUUCAAAGAAGGAUCGCUCCAGGAGUCCUAGUCGUGGGCGGUCAUAUUCUAGAGAGAGGACUUGUAGUCGCAGUCGCAGUCGUAGCAGAGGCCGAAGUAGGAGCAAGAGCCGCAGUAGGAGCAAGAGCCGCAGUAGGAGCAGCAAGUCCCCAAAAGCUAAAUCUUCCCAGCGAUCACCUGUUAAAUCUCGAUCAAGGUCUGUUUCCCCUGCUCGCUCUCGGUCAAAGUCACCAUCUCUUUCUGGGCAGAAUGUUAGACAGGGUGAAAUAAACAACGUAAAAGUAUUGAAAGUGAACUAAUUCUUUUGUAUUGCUCAAAAACUGGUCAGAAAGUGGUUGAUAGCAACGGAUUUGAAAUUACCUUACCGGGUGCUAUGUGUUUGCAUGUGGUAUUGUGGUUUGUACAAUUCCCUUGUAUGGGAAAACCACCCUUUUCUUCCAUAGUCUUGGAUCAUUCUGAGAAUGGUGGAGAUGAAUACUUGACAGACUUCAAAUUAGUCUGGGCAAUGUGUGGGACCCCCUCUAUUGGAAUGUUGGAUAUGGAAAUAUGCGGCAUACUGGGGAUUGGAUAUUAGUAUCCUGAUGGGAUUUGAUUCAUUUGCCUUCAAUGCUUUUGGUUGAGAAGGUAUGCUGUUUUUUAGAUGGGCAGCUUUGAAAACCAUCUGGUACCCCCUGUUCUAAUGCUUUUAGCAAUGCAAUGUCCAUGGGUGCUAGAUUUGGAUCAAAGGAGAUCAUGGAUUGCAAUAAUAGAGCUGGAUAUCUUGGACUAAGUGCUAUUUGGACUUGGAACUCAUCAUCACUUUCAUUUACAUUUUCUGCUGCAAGAUUUGCAAAGCUAUAGGACGCACUAUCUGGAUUCAUUGUGGACUUUUUGAGGCACAGUAGGGAAGAAUGCUCCUCGCCCGUCCACUGGUGUCUCUAUAAUAUAUUGGUUCCUAUAGAUUGAAGUUUUCUAAUUUUAGGUCUUCACUUUGGAGUCUUAAGUUUUUGAAUUGGCGUAUAAUCUUCAUAGUUGAACUGCUAAAAUACUAUUUUUCUAUCUCACGUAUAUAAUGUGGACGAGGCGUCAGGCUCUUGGAUCACAUUUGGUAAAAGAGGCGUGGAUUUUAAAUUUUGGUUAUUUCUGGACAUUUUGCAGAUCCCGAUCAAGAUCCAGAUCUCCAUUGCCCAAUCGUGAGAAACGUACUAGUAAAAGUCC